rnacentral:rRNA from 1 species
GACGAACGCUGGCGGCGUGCUUAACACAUGCAAGUCGAACGGAAAGGCCCUGCUUUUGUGGGGUGCUCGAGUGGCGAACGGGUGAGUAACACGUGAGUAACCUGCCCUUGACUUUGGGAUAACUUCAGGAAACUGGGGCUAAUACCGGAUAGGAGCUCCUGCUGCAUGGUGGGGGUUGGAAAGUUUCGGCGGUUGGGGAUGGACUCGCGGCUUAUCAGCUUGUUGGUGGGGUAGUGGCUUACCAAGGCUUUGACGGGUAGCCGGCCUGAGAGGGUGACCGGCCAAAUUGGGAAUGGGAUAGGGCCGAGACUCCUAGGGGAGGGAGGAGUGGGGAAUAGUGCAAAAGGGGGGGAAGCCUGAUGGAGCAACGGCGGGGGGGGGAUGACGGCCUUGGGGUUGGAAACCGCUUUGGCCUGGGACGAAGGGGGGGUGACGGUAAUGGGUAAAGGAGCACCGGCUAACUACGG